AUUGAACGCUGGCGGCGUGCUUAACACAUGCAAGUCGAUCGGUAACGCGGGGGCGACCCUGGCGACGAGAGGCGGACGGGUGAGGAACGCUUGGGAAUCUGCCUAUCAGCGGGGGACAACACGGGGAAACUCGUGCUAAUACCGCACACGCUCUACGGAGGAAAGCCGGGGACCGCAAGGCCUGGCACUGAUAGAUGAGCCCAAGCCGGAUUAGCUAGUUGGCGGGGUAACGGCCCACCAAGGCGACGAUCCGUAGCUGGUCUGAGAGGACGAUCAGCCACACGGGGACUGAGACACGGCCCAGACACCUACGGGAGGCAGCAGUGGGGAAUAUUGGACAAUGGGGGAAACCCUGAUCCAGCGACGCCGCGUGGGUGAAGAAGGCCUGCGGGUUGUAAAGCCCUUUCGGUAGGGACGAAAGCUCUCGACCUAACACGUCGGGAGGUUGACUUAACCUACAAAAGAAGCACCGGCUAACUCUGUGCCAGCAGCCGCCGUAAUAC
rnacentral:rRNA from 1 species